GAUGAACGCUGGCGGCGUGCCUCAAACAUGCAAGUCGAGCGGGGCUAUGUAAUAUCGCAAGGUAGAACAUAGCCUAGCGGCGAACGGGUGAGUAACACGUGGGUAACCCUGCCCUGGAAGACAGGGAUAACGAUUCGAAAGGGUCGCUAAUACCUGAUAAUAUCCUUUCAUCGCAUGGUGAUAGGAAGAAAGGGGAAACCCGCUUUCAGAUGGGCCCGCGUCCCAUCAGCUAGUUGGUAAGGUAAAGGCUUACCAAGGCGACGACGGGUAGCCGGUCUGAGAGGAUGUACGGCCACACUGGGACUGAGAUACGGCCCAGACUCCUACGGGAGGCAGCAGUUGGGAAUCUUAGGCAAUGGACGAAAGUCUGACCUAGCGACGCCGCGUGAGGGAAGAAGGCCUUCGGGUUGUAAACCUCUGUCAUGGGGAAGAAGUAAGUGACGGUACCCCAAGAGGAAGCCCCUGCUAACUACGUG
rnacentral:rRNA from 1 species